rnacentral:ncRNA from 1 species
CUUUCAUUGGUUUUUAGAAUCAAGAGGUAAUGAUUAAUAGAAGCAGAUUGGUGAUGGCAUUAGUAUUACAACGCGAGAAGUGAAAUUCUUGGACCAUCGUAAGAGUAACUUAAGUGAAAGCAUUUGUCAAAUAAGUUUUCUUU